UACGGGGGGAGCAAGCGUUGUUCGGAUUUACUGGGCGUAAAGGGCGCGUAGGCGGCCACCGCAAGUCAGUUGUGAAAUCUCUGGGCUUAACCCAGAAAGGUCAACUGAUACUGCGGGGCUAGAGUGCAGAAGGGGCAACUGGAAUUCUCGGUGUAGCGGUGAAAUGCGUAGAUAUCGGGAGGAAUACCCGUGGCGAAGGCGGUCCACUGGGCAUCAACUGACGCUGAGGCGCGAAAGCGUGGGUAGCAAACAGG
rnacentral:rRNA from 1 species